AUGAACGCUAGCUACAGGCUUAACACAUGCAAGUCGAGGGGCAGCAUGACCUAGCAAUAGGUUGAUGGCGACCGGCGCACGGGUGAGUAACACGUAUCCAACCUACCGGUUAUUCCGGGAUAGCCUUUCGAAAGAAAGAUUAAUACCGGAUAGUAUAACGAGAAGGCAUCUUCUUGUUAUUAAAGAAUUUCGAUAACCGAUGGGGAUGCGUUCCAUUAGUUUGUUGGCGGGGUAACGGCCCACCAAGACAUCGAUGGAUAGGGGUUCUGAGAGGAAGGUCCCCCACAUUGGAACUGAGACACGGUCCAAACUCCUACGGGAGGCAGCAGUGAGGAAUAUUGGUCAAUGGACGAGAGUCUGAACCAGCCAAGUAGCGUGAAGGAUGACUGCCCUAUGGGUUGUAAACUUCUUUUAUAUGGGAAUAAAGUGAGCCACGUGUGGCUUUUUGUAUGUACCAUACGAAUAAGGAUCGGCUAACUCCGUGCCAGCAGCCGCGGUAAUACGGAGGAUCCGAGCGUUAUCCGGAUUUAUUGGGUUUAAAGGGAGCGUAGGCGGACUAUUAGGUCAGCUGUGAAAGUUUGCGGCUCAACCGUAAAAUUGCAGUUGAUACUGGUCGUCUUGAGUGCAGUAGAGGUAGGCGGAAUUCGUGGUGUAGCGGUGAAAUGCUUAGAUAUCACGAAGAACUCCGAUUGCGAAGGCAGCUUACUGGACUGUAACUGACGCUGAUGCUCGAAAGUGUGGGUAUCAAACAGGAUUAGAUACCCUGGUAGUCCACACAGUAAACGAUGAAUACUCGCUGUUUGCGAUAUACAGCAAGCGGCCAAGCGAAAGCAUUAAGUAUUCCACCUGGGGAGUACGCCGGCAACGGUGAAACUCAAAGGAAUUGACGGGGGCCCGCACAAGCGGUGGAGUAUGUGGUUUAAUUCGAAGCAACGCGAAGAACCUUACCAGGGCUUGACAUCCUACUAACGAAGUAGAGAUACAUCAGGUGCCCUUCGGGGAAAGUAGAGACAGGUGGUGCAUGGUUGUCGUCAGCUCGUGUCGUGAGAUGUUGGGUUAAGUCCCGCAACGAGCGCAACCCUUAUCCUCAGUAGCCAGCAGGUAAAGCUGGGCACUCUGUGGAGACUGCCAGGGAUAACCUGGAGGAAGGUGGGGAUGACGUCAAAUCAUCAUGCCCCUUAUGACUUGGGCUACACACGUGCUACAAUGGCGCAUACAAAGAGAAGCGACCUCGCGAGAGCAAGCGGACCUCAUAAAGUGCGUCGUAGUCCGGAUUGGAGUCUGCAACUCGACUCCAUGAAGUCGGAAUCGCUAGUAAUCGUGGAUCAGAAUGCCACGGUGAAUACGUUCCCGGGCCUUGUACACACCGCCCGUCACACUAUGAGAGUCAGAAACACCCGAAGCCGGUGAGGUAACCGCAAGGAGCCAGCCGUCGAAGGCGGAGCUGAUGAUUGGAGUG
rnacentral:rRNA from 1 species